GAUGAACGCUGGCGGCGUGCCUAAUACAUGCAAGUCGAGCGAACAGACGAGGAGCUUGCUCCUCUGACGUUAGCGGCGGACGGGUGAGUAACACGUGGAUAACCUACCUAUAAGACUGGGAUAACUUCGGGAAACCGGAGCUAAUACCGGAUAACAUGUUGAACCGCAUGGUUCAAUAGUGAAAGACGGUCUUGCUGUCACUUAUAGAUGGAUCCGCGCCGCAUUAGCUAGUUGGUAAGGUAACGGCUUACCAAGGCAACGAUGCGUAGCCGACCUGAGAGGGUGAUCGGCCACACUGGAACUGAGACACGGUCCAGACUCCUACGGGAGGCAGCAGUAGGGAAUCUUCCGCAAUGGGCGAAAGCCUGACGGAGCAACGCCGCGUGAGUGAUGAAGGUCUUCGGAUCGUAAAACUCUGUUAUUAGGGAAGAACAAAUGUGUAAGUAACUAUGCACGUCUUGACGGUACCUAAUCAGAAAGCCACGGCUAACUACGUG
rnacentral:rRNA from 1 species